UACGUAGGGAGCAAGCGUUGUCCGGAAUUACUGGGCGUAAAGGGUGCGUAGGCGGCGCAGUUAGUCAGAAGUGAAAUAUCGGGGCUUAACCCCGGGGCUGCUUCUGGUACUGCUGUGCUCGAGUGCAGGAGAGGUAAGUGGAAUUCCUAGUGUAGCGGUGAAAUGCGUAGAUAUUAGGAGGAACACCAGUGGCGAAGGCGACUUACUGGACUGUAACUGACGCUGAGGCACGAAAGCGUGGGUAGCAAACGGG
rnacentral:rRNA from 1 species